rnacentral:rRNA from 1 species
GUUGGGUAACACUAACUGGAGGACCGAACCGACUAAUGUUGAAAAAUUAGCGGAUGACCUGUGGCUGGGGGUGAAAGGCCAAUCAAACCGGGAGAUAGCUGGUUCUCCCCGAAAGCUAUUUAGGUAGCGCCUCGUGAAUUCAUCUCCGGGGGUAGAGCACUGUUUCGGCUAGGGGGCCAUCCCGGCUUACCAACCCGAUGCAAACUGCGAAUACCGGAGAAUGUUAUCACGGGAGACACACGGCGGGUGCUAACGUCCGUCGUGAAGAGGGAAACAACCCAGACCGCCAGCUAAGGUCCCAAAGUCAUGGUUAAGUGGGAAACGAUGUGGGAAGGCCCAGACAGCCAGGAUGUUGGCUUAGAAGCAGCCAUCAUUUAAAGAAAGCGUAAUAGCUCACUGGUCGAGUCGGCCUGCGCGGAAGAUGUAACGGGGCUAAACCAUGCACCGAAGCUGCG